GUGCCAGCCGCCGCGGUAAUACGUAGGCAGCAAGCGUUGUUCGGAGUUACUGGGCGUAAAGAGUGCGUAGGCGGUCCGCUAAGUUCGGUGUGAAAUCUCCCGGCUCAACUGGGAGGGUGCGCCGAAGACUGGCGGGCUUGAGUGCGGGAGAGGAAAGCGGAAUUCCUGGUGUAGCGGUGAAAUGCGUAGAUAUCAGGAGGAACACCUGCGGUGUAGACGGCUUUCUGGACCGUAACUGACGCUGAGGCACGAAAGCGUGGGUAGCAAACAGGAUUAGAUACCCUUGUAGUCC
rnacentral:rRNA from 1 species